GACGAACGCUGGCGGCGUGCUUAACACAUGCAAGUCGAACGGAAAGGCCCUGCUUUUGUGGGGUGCUCGAGUGGCGAACGGGUGAGUAACACGUGAGUAACCUGCCCUUGACUUUGGGAUAACUUCAGGAAACUGGGGCUAAUACCGGAUAGGAGCUCCUGCUGCAUGGUGGGGGUUGGAAAGUUUCGGCGGUUGGGGAUGGACUCGCGGCUUAUCAGCUUGUUGGUGAGGUAGUGGCUUACCAAGGCUUUGACGGGUAGCCGGCCUGAGAGGGUGACCGGCCACAGUGGGACUGAGAUACGGCCCAGACUCCUACGGGAGGCAGCAGUGGGGAAUAUUGCACAAUGGGCGGAAGCCUGAUGCAGCAACGCCGCGUGCGGGAUGACGGCCUUCGGGUUGUAAACCGCUUUCGCCUGUGACGAAGCGUGAGUGACGGUAAUGGGUAAAGAAGCACCGGCUAACUACGU
rnacentral:rRNA from 1 species